rnacentral:lncRNA from 1 species
UGGAUGUUUUUCAAACCUGAACUCUUUUUAAAGCGCAUUACUCUGUCCUGGAAGUUUCUCCUCUCAAUGAUUUACGUUUCGUCUUUUGCCCUCCUGCAGCUGAUGGCCUGCAGAAAUCGGGUAGAGCAGGAGUUGGGUCACUGCAUUGGACUCAGGCUGUAAAUGGCCUUGACUUCACUCUGCAAACGACCGGAGUCCUGAAAUAAAUCUUGCAAACCAAAUGCAUGGUGACGGUUGGUAAAGGACCCGAUGCCUUUCCAAUAUGCACCAAUAAACCGCAGAGUGUCUUCACAGUUGAAUGUAAGAUCAGCACAGAAAAGACAAAACACGAGCAGUGCCUGCUGUAUCAACAUUCAUGGGGCUUUGUGAAGCAGUGUGACCUCAGGUUCACACUCAUGAAAGAGAAUGAGACUCUGUUUCUCCGACUGACCAGUUUAACACCAUUGGAUAGCGGCAACUACACCUGUGUGUGCUCACGGCCUGAGAAAACAUAUAUUCUACCGCUGAAUAUCACUGUGGAAGGUACAUUUUUGACUGAUUAAUCAAAAUGUAUUCUGUUAACUUCAGAAUUGAAAUCUUAAUAAUGUCUUGAAAUGUUAAAUUUAAUUCUCAGCCAAUGUCUCUGUGAAUGAUGCAUUUGUUGCAUUUUUAUGGAUUUCCCUUUUUUUGUUUAUUGAUGAGGUUUUGAACAUUUUGACUUGAUUAUUUCCGUUUGUAUGUUAAAAAUGAUUAUGAAGGGAAGG